GGGCUGCUUUGAAAGGGAUUUUUCGUCUUGGUUGCCGUUUGAUUGUUGGCUCUCGCGCUAUACCGUGUGUGAAGCAUAUAAAAGCCUCUCGAACACUCGUACGCCGGGCGUGUCGUUAACUCGACCACCGCGUAUGCGAGUUAUUAGUAGGGCUGUAGCGCGAGUGGCUGUAUCAGUCAGCUGAAUCGGUUUUCCUUCACGCGGGGGUUGACCGUUACAGUAAGGGCUUUUUCUGAGUGGGCGCGCGUCGAAGACUCGCACACAGUACACUACGAUCGACUCGUUGACUUUAACAAAAAAUCAUAUCUGACCUCAGUUUAGGUGAGACUACCCGCUGAACUUAAGCAUAUCAGUAAGCGGAGGAAAAGAAACUAACAAGGAUUCCCUUAGUAGCGGCGAGCGAACAGGGAAGAGCUCAGCACCGAACCUCGCGCCCGGCAAAGCGGACGCAGAGGAAUGUGGUGUUUGGGAGAACCGUGCGUGUCUGUCCGGUAUAUUCAUCCAAGUCUCCAUGAACGGGGCGAGCAACCCACAGAGGGUGUCAGGCCCGUAGACCAGAUGAGCCGAGACCGUACAUCGGGUUCCUUC
rnacentral:rRNA from 1 species